UUUAAUAUAGCAAAUUUAGUGCAUUGAAUUUAAACUUCAAAUAUAAAGAUGAAAUUAGUCUUUUAUUAAAA
rnacentral:tRNA from 1 species